GACGAACGCUGGCGGCGUGCUUAACACAUGCAAGUCGAACGGAAAGGCCCUGCUUUUGUGGGGUGCUCGAGUGGCGAACGGGUGAGUAACACGUGAGUAACCUGCCCUUGACUUUAGGAUAACUUCAGGAAACUGGGGCUAAUACCGGAUAGGAGCUCCUGCUGCAUGGUGGGGGUUGGAAAGUUUCGGCGGUUGGGGAUGGACUCGCGGCUUAUCAGCUUGUUGGUGGGGUAGUGGCUUACCAAGGCUUUGACGGGUAGCCGGCCUGAGAGGGUGACCGGCCACAUUGGGACUGAGAUACGGCCCAGACUCCUACGGGAGGCAGCAGUGGGGAAUAUUGCACAAUGGGCGGAAGCCUGAUGCAGCAACGCCGCGUGCGGGAUGACGGCCUUCGGGUUGUAACCCGCUUUCGCCUGUGACGAAGCGUGAGUGACGGUAAUGGGUAAAGAAGCACCGGCUAACUACGUG
rnacentral:rRNA from 1 species